rnacentral:rRNA from 1 species
GACGAACGCUGGCGGCGUGCUUAACACAUGCAAGUCGAACGGAAAGGCCCUGCUUUUGUGGGGUGCUCGAGUGGCGAACGGGUGAGUAACACGUGAGUAACCUGCCCUUGACUUUGGGAUAACUUCAGGAAACUGGGGCUAAUACCGGAUAGGAGCUCCUGCUGCAUGGUGGGGGUUGGAAAGUUUCGGCGGUUGGGGAUGGACUCGCGGCUUAUCAGCUUGUUGGUGGGGUAGUGGCUUACCAAGGCUUUGACGGGUAGCCGGCCUGAGAGGGUGACCGGCCACAUUGGGACUGAGCUACGGCCCAGACUACUACGGGAGGCAGCAGUGGGGAAUAUUGCACAAUGGGCGGAAGCCUGAUGCAGCAACGCCGCGUGCGGGAUGACGGCCUUCGGGUUGUAACCCGCUUUCGCCUGUGACGAAGCGUGAGUGACGGUAAUGGGUAAAGAAGCACCGGCUAACUACGUG